ACAAAUAUACCAUAUGAUCAGACAGUUUUCAAAAUUCUGAUACGUAUGCGAACUAUUCGGUAAUAGUUCGUAAAUUUUAGAGGGAUUCGAUGGUCUUCGUCUUCUGGACUUGACUGUUGACGCCUGACGGUGACGGGGAAUAUGCUUCUUCACCAGAUUCUGGAUGAAGAUGGGAUUGGAACAGAGAAAUCCAGUUCCAGCAAUCCAGCCUGCGCCUCAAAGUUCAAAAGCCCGUCAUAAUGGUGGUUCUCCGGCAUUUUUCCUGUCCAAAGGCUGAAUAGGUUUCUUCAGAACAGAGAAAUGAGGCGGGACAGUAGGGGCAUGUUGAUGCAGAUCUGAAGGUCUACUCAAGAAGGAGGAAGAGGGUCGACCCUAGUGGCUGAUUGGGUUGACCAGGUCUGGUUUAAUGGCCCACGUUUUGGGCUACUGAUGGGGUUAUUAGUUAUUUAAUUAGUUUAUAAUUUCAUUUCUAUUUUCAAGUCUUAAAUUAGUUUCUAAUUUCAAUCCUUGUUAGUUUCUAAUUUCAGUUGUUUAGAAUUUCUAAUUUUAGUAACUACAUGUUACUAGUUUAGUCAGUCAAUAAUUAAAAGCUUUGAGUUUCUAUUUUUGUAAACACUACCCCCUAUCAUUAUAAAUAAAGAAGGGCUUAUACCUAAGGCCCAUGGUUUUGAAUUAA